GGCCCAAAUUUGAAGUAGAGUAGAUUAUAGGGAUCACCUGACCCUACUUAAUUACUCUACUUCGAUUUUGUGCCU
rnacentral:pre_miRNA from 1 species